rnacentral:rRNA from 1 species
AUGAUUGUACUCGCCACUAUAUGCACUAAUUUUGACUUGUGUCUUCGGUCAAGCCGGGUUGCAUUGCUCAUAAGUUUGCCCCUUACGUCUCCGCACGUUCGGCUAAGGGUGCCACAGGAGCACCAAUGUGAUUGUUACUUCCGGUUCAACUGGUCAAAUAAAGAAAUCAUUCGGCAUGACGAAAGUAAAGAAAUUCACAAAUCAUGUUGGCUACAAAGGAACUUGAUUCUAAAUCAAGCAUGUACAAUAUGCUUCCACCUUCCAGAUUUCCGAGCUCGCGGCAAGCAAGAAACUGGUCUAAAUGGCCACACCUUGGAACUGGGCCGUUUUGCAGAUCUCCCAAACUAA